rnacentral:rRNA from 1 species
GAGUUUGAUCGUGGCUCAGAGCGAACGCUGGCGGCAGGCCUAACACAUGCAAGUCGAACGAACUCUUCGGAGUUAGUGGCGGACGGGUGAGUAACACGUGGGAACGUGCCUUUUGGUUCGGAAUAACUCAGGGAAACUUGUGCUAAUACCGAAUGUGCCCUUCGGGGAAAGGAUUUAUCGCCAUUAGAGCGGCCCGCGUCUGAUUAGCUAGUUGGUGAGGUAAAGGCUCACCAAGGCGACGAUCAGUAGCUGGUCUGAGAGGAUGAUCAGCCACAUUGGGACUGAGACACGGCCCAAACUCCUACGGGAGGCAGCAGUGGGGAAUCUUGCGCAAUGGGCGAAAGCCUGACGCAGCCAUGCCGCGUGAAUGAUGAAGGUCUUAGGAUUGUAAAAAUUCUUUCACCGGGACGAUAAUGACGGUACCCGGAGAAGAAGCCCGGCUAACUUCGUGCCAGCAGCCGCCGUAAU